rnacentral:rRNA from 1 species
UACGUAGGGUGCAAGCGUUGUCCGGAAUUAUUGGGCGUAAAGAGCUCGUAGGUGGUCUGUUGCGUCGGCUGUGAAAACCCGGGGCUCAACCCCGGGCCUGCAGCCGAUACGGGCAGACUAGAGCUCGGCAGGGGAGACUGGAAUUCCUGGUGUAGCGGUGAAAUGCGCAGAUAUCAGGAGGAACACCGGUGGCGAAGGCGGGUCUCUGGGCCGAUACUGACACUGAGGAGCGAAAGCGUGGGGAGCGAACAGG